rnacentral:sRNA from 1 species
AGAAUGAAUUAAAUAAUGAGGACCCUUUCAUCAGGGUUUUUGAGUGAGUUUUUUAAAAUACAAAGUAGUAGUUUGUGUAAAUACUAAAUCCAUUGGUACCUGUGCAGAAUGUAGGAAAUGGAGUUGCUAAUUCCAAAAAAACAGCACAUAUGCUGAGGAAAGUAUAAUACCUAAUAUAUAUGGUUUAAGCAAUGUAAAAUUCCAUGAAUAUGUUCCUUUUCAUCUUAAAAUUUGUGAUUUAAAAAACAUUGAUAUUACUAUAAAGAAUUAUUAUUAUUUCCCUUGAUUUACAGAGUAUUGUUACAAUCACAUUUGAAGUACCAGGAAAUGCAAAGGAAGAACAUCUUAAUAUGUUUAUUCAGAAUCUCCUGUGGGAAAAGAAUGUGAGAAACAAGGACAAUCACUGCAUGGAGGUCAUAAGGCUGAAGGGAUUGGUGUCAAUCAAAGACAAAUCACAACAAAUGAUUGUCCAGGGUGUCCAUGAGCUCUAUGAUCUGGAGGAGACUCCAGUGAGCUGGAAGGAUGACACUGAGAGAACAAAUCGAUUGGUCCUCCUUGGCAGAAAUUUAGAUAAGGAUAUCCUUAAACAGCUGUUUAUAGCUACUGUGACAGAAACAGAAAAGCAGUGGACAACACGUUCCAAAGAAGAUCAAGUUUGUACAUAACACUAGAGGCAUUUCUUAUCAAAAGGAUUGGAUAAUAAAAAUAAGUUUCUACUGGG